GGUGGGCUGGGGAGCCAAAGGGAGAGUCUGGAAUCCGCAAGAUCUCCAAGUAUGACCACUCAGCAUCCCUAAGGCUUCAUCCCUGCUUCCCCAGCCUAGAGAAUCUUUGAACCUGGCAGCCUGCAGGAGGUAGAAAGAGGAUUCUGGGAAGAGCUAGGGAGCUAACACAGGACCAGGAUGGUUCAGGAUCCAAGGACAAGUGGAGAAAGGAGAUCCCUAUUCAGAACAGUAUUUUGAAGUGGAUGCAGUUUUCCUGGAACCCUAAGGAAAAGGAAACACUGUCUCAGCCUCCUUAUCACAUAACUGAUGAAGUUUCAGCCUGGAUUACUACCACCAUUCACCACCUCUGCUCACAUACAUUCUGCUAAAUAAAGAUACUGAGGGGAUUGUUUUGGUAAUCCUGGCCUGAGAAACUUGGAAGAUGGAGAUCUGGAUGCAUUCAGAACAAAUUGGACAUGACCACACAAGAAGCCAAAGAAAGGUAGAUCAGACGGUAAAGAUGACCAAGAAAGAAGACCUCCUCCAGCCAUCUACAGUUGGAGAAAGUGUCCAGAAGUAAUAGUAUAUGUGAUUCAUGAAGACAGGGUGCCCUCUCCUGUUAAAAUGAGAAGUACAUCAUUUUAAAUCUACAGGAGUUAAUAAAUAUGAACAAUU